rnacentral:rRNA from 1 species
UACGAAGGGGGCUAGCGUUGUUCGGAAUUACUGGGCGUAAAGCGCACGUAGGCGGAUAUUUAAGUCAGGGGUGAAAUCCCAGAGCUCAACUCUGGAACUGCCUUUGAUACUGGGUAUCUUGAGUAUGGAAGAGGUAAGUGGAAUUGCGAGUGUAGAGGUGAAAUUCGUAGAUAUUCGCAGGAACACCAGUGGCGAAGGCGGCUUACUGGUCCAUAACUGACGCUGAGGUGCGAAAGCGUGGGGAGCAAACAGGAUAGAAACCCAGUACG